CACCUCUCAGCAUUGCAUCUGGAGAGUUUCCAGUACUCUACCAGUCUGAGCUACGGGAGGGAGAGUCAAGCAGAGGCCUACCCAGUCCAUUCUUAGCUUGGCCAGUGGCUAGUGAGUGGAAGGCAAUUUGCUACACGU